rnacentral:lncRNA from 1 species
UGGGUUUGUUCUUUCACGUUCAUUCUCAUCUAUAAUGGAAUUACCUCAUUCCAUUUUGGGCAAUAAUAUUGUCGACAUUUAAUAAUUGAACGUGGUUCCAAUCAACACAGCUCAUUGAUGAUUUGAGUAGCUACUCCAAAACCAAAAAUUGUCAUUCAUCAAUUCAUGAUCCCAUCAUUCUCAUUUGCACGUGCAUGCAUCAAUUAUAAGCAUUUCUUUGCUUUUGGGUACCCAAGCCACUUCAUGGGGCUUUUAUUAUGUGAGAAUAUGGAUUAUAACCUCCAAUGGAGCGUUA